GAUGAACGCUGGCGGCGUGCCUAAUACAUGCAAGUCGAACGAAAAUUAGCUUCGGUUAAUUUUAGUGGCGGACGGGUGAGUAACACGUGAGAAUUUGCCUUUAGGAGGGGGAUAACGAGUGGAAACAUUCGCUAAAACCCCAUAUGCCCACGGGUGAAAAAGAGGAAACUCUGCCUGAAGAGAAGCUCGCGGCUGAUUAGCUAGUUGGUAGGGUAAUGCCCUACCAAGGCGACGAUCAGUAGCUGGUCUGAGAGGACGAUCAGCCACACUGGAACUGAGACACGGUCCAGACUCCUACGGGAGGCAGCAGUGAGGAAUUUUCUGCAAUGGGCGAAAGCCUGACAGAGCAAUACCGCGUGAGGGAUGAAGACUUACUGAGUUGUAAACCUCGGUGCCUUAAGGAAGAAGAUCUGACGGUACUUAAGGUGGAAAGCAUCGGCUAACUCCGUGCCAGCCGCCGCAGUAA
rnacentral:rRNA from 1 species